AGAUGUGUGUGUGUGUGUAAAUCCAUGCAUAUCCAUUACUUGGUUUAAAAUCAUUUUAAAUGAUUCAUAACAAGCAUCAUUUUAUUCUAUAAAACCUG